AACUUGCGACGCGCUGAUGGUAGUCGUCUCUCUAUGCGAAUGAGGGAGGCGACCUCAAGGGAAGCCGGUGCGAAUCCGGCGCUGCCCCGCAGCGGUAUGUGGAAACGACCUCCGUCACAGGCACUGGACGCAACACGUCCGGGAAGCGACGAACAGUAGGCCAUGCAACACGUCCACGAGCCCGAAUACCUGCCUCAGCCUGAAGCGCACG
rfam:Rhodanobacter sp. OK091 genome assembly, contig: Ga0115501_101